rnacentral:rRNA from 1 species
AACGAACGCUGGCGGCAGGCUUAACACAUGCAAGUCGAGCGGGCCCUUCGGGGUCAGCGGCAGACGGGUGAGUAACGCGUGGGAAUCUACCCAUCUCUGCGGAACAACUCCGGGAAACUGGAGCUAAUACCGCAUACGCCCUUUUGGGGAAAGAUUUAUCGGGGAUGGAUGAGCCCGCGUUGGAUUAGCUAGUUGGUGGGGUAAAGGCCUACCAAGGCGACGAUCCAUAGCUGGUCUGAGAGGAUGAUCAGCCACAUUGGGACUGAGACACGGCCCAAACUCCUACGGGAGGCAGCAGUGGGGAAUAUUGGACAAUGGGCGCAAGCCUGAUCCAGCCAUGCCGCGUGAGUGAUGAAGGCCUUAGGGUUGUAAAGCUCUUUCACCGAUGAAGAUAAUGACGGUAGUCGGAGAAGAAGCCCCGGCUAACUUCGUGCCAGCAGCCGCCGUAA